GAUGAAGAACGUAGCGAAAUGCGAUAAGUAGUGUGAAUUGCAGAAUUCAGUGAAUCAUCGAAUCUUUGAACGCACAUUGCGCCCUUUGGUAUUCCUUAGGGCAUGCCUGUUCGAGCGUCAUUUCAACCCUUAAGCCCUGUUGCUUAGCGUUGGGAGCCUACAGUACUGUAGCUCCCCAAAGUUAGUGGCGGAGUCGGUUUCACACUCUAGACGUAGUAAUUUUUUCUCGUCUGUAGUUGAGCCGGUCCCCUGCCGUAAAACACCCAAUUUAUCAAGGUUGACCUCGGAUCAGGUAGGAAUACCCGCUGAACUUAAGCAUAUCAAUAAGCGGAGGA
rnacentral:misc_RNA from 1 species